AUCAUGCUGACGAGUUUCAAAUAGGACGAAACGCUCAUCCUUUAU
rnacentral:hammerhead_ribozyme from 1 species